rnacentral:rRNA from 1 species
GACGAACGCUGGCGGCGUGCCUAAUACAUGCAAGUGGGACGCAAGGAAACACACUGUGCUUGCACACCGUGUUUUCUUGAGUCGCGAACGGGUGAGUAACGCGGAGGUAACCUGCCUAUUAGCGGGGGAUAACUAUUGGAAACGAUAGCUAAUACCGCAUAAUAUUAAUUAUUGCAUGAUAAUUGAUUGAAAGAUGCAAGCGCAUCACUAGUAGAUGGACCUGCGUUGUAUUAGCUAGUUGGUAAGGUAAGAGCUUACCAAGGCGACGAUACAUAGCCGACCUGAGAGGGUGAUCGGCCACACUGGGACUGAGACACGGCCCAGACUUCUACGGGAGGCAGCAGUAGGGAAUCUUCGGCAAUGGACGAAAGUCUGACCGAGCAACGCCGCGUGAGUGAAGAAGGUUUUCGGAUCGUAAAGCUCUGUUGUAAGUCAAGAACGUGUGUGAGAGUGGAAA